rnacentral:lncRNA from 1 species
GAGUAGGCAGCCCAGGAGCCGGGAGCAAAAGACUUGGAGGCGUCGAAGGCUUGGCGGAGGCUGGACACGCGUCGACAUCGGUGAGUCACACCUUGCAAGGCGUGCAAGAGGGUUUGACCGGUUUGACCACAAAACCGGGGGGUGAGUCCAGUGCGGCCGGACAACGUCAAGUUGGAGGACGCGUGGCACCAUCACGAAGCUUGCGUUGAGGUGAAGCUAAG